rnacentral:rRNA from 1 species
CGGGGGGCAGCAGUAAGGAAUAUUGGUCAAUGGACGCAAGUCUGAACCAGCCAUGCCGCGUGAAGGAUGACGGCCCUCUGGGUUGUAAACUUCUUUUAUAGGGGACGAAACAAGGGAAUUCUUUCCCUCUUGACGGUACCCUAGGAAUAAGCACCGGCUAACUCCGUGCCAGCAGCCGCGGUAAUACGGAGGGUGCAAGCGUUAUCCGGAUUUACUGGGUUUAAAGGGUGCGUAGGUGGGUCGGUAAGUCAGCGGUGAAAUCUUCGAGCUUAACUCGGAAACUGCCAUUGAUACUAUCGAUCUUGAAUCAUCUAGAGGUAAGCGGAAUAUGUCAUGUAGCGGUGAAAUGCUUAGAUAUGACAUAGAACACCAAUUGCGAAGGCAGCUUACUAUGGAUGUAUUGACACUGAGGCACGAAAGCGUGGGGAUCAAACAGGAUUAGAUACCCCCGU